rnacentral:rRNA from 1 species
GUAGGGAAUCUUGCGCAAUGGGCGAAAGCCUGACGCAGCCAUGCCGCGUGAAUGAUGAAGGUCUUAGGAUUGUAAAAUUCUUUCACCGGGGACGAUAAUGACGGUACCCGGAGAAGAAGCCCCGGCUAACUUCGUGCCAGCAGCCGCGGUAAUACGAAGGGGGCUAGCGUUGCUCGGAAUUACUGGGCGUAAAGGGCGCGUAGGCGGACAGUUUAGUCAGAGGUGAAAGCCCAGGGCUCAACCUUGGAAUUGCCUUUGAUACUGGCUGUCUUGAGUACGGGAGAGGUGAGUGGAACUCCGAGUGUAGAGGUGAAAUUCGUAGAUAUUCGGAAGAACACCAGUGGCGAAGGCGACUCACUGGCCCGUUACUGACGCUGAGGCGCGAAAGCGUGGGGAGCAAACAGGAUUAGAUACCCGAGUAGUCC